rnacentral:rRNA from 1 species
CGAAGGGUGCAAGCGUUACUCGGAAUUACUGGGCGUAAAGCGUGCGUAGGUGGUUGUUUAAGUCUGUCGUGAAAGCCCUGGGCUCAACCUGGGAACUGCGAUGGAAACUGGGCGACUAGAGUGUGGUAGAGGGUAGCGGAAUUCCUGGUGUAGCAGUGAAAUGCGUAGAUAUCAGGAGGAACAUCCAUGGCGAAGGCAGCUACCUGGGCCAACACUGACACUGAGGCACGAAAGCGUGGGAGCAAACAGGAUU